AUACUUUGGUACAUGACUGUGAUGACUGGGUGUUCAUACUGUGUGCAAGAAACUCAUCUCCUUCAAACUUUGUUACAAUAUGGGUGCAUUGUACUGUCUGAUU
rfam:Cavia porcellus supercont2_27 genomic scaffold, whole genome shotgun sequence.